CGCUGGCGGCGUGNAUCANCCAUGCAAGGAGNAAGAACCUUCGGGUUAGUGGCGGACGGGUGAGUAACGCUUUUCACUNUGCCCUCAGGAGGGGGAUAACGGUUGGAAACGACCGCUAAUACCCCAUAUGCCGAGAGGUGAAAAGAAAUUCGCCUGAGGAUGAGCUCGCGUCUGAUUAGCUAGUUGGUGUGGUAAUGGCGCACCAAGGCUUCGAUCAGUAGCUGGUCUGAGAGGAUGAUCAGCCACACUGGGACUGAGACACGGCCCAGACUCCUACGGGAGGCAGCAGUGGG
rnacentral:rRNA from 1 species